rnacentral:rRNA from 1 species
CACGUAGGCGGCGAAGCAAGUUGGGUGUGAAAGCCCUGGGCUCAACCCAGGAAGUGCAUUCAAAACUGCUUUGCUUGAAUCUCGGAGGGGGUCAGAGAAUUCCCGGUGUAGAGGUGAAAUUCGUAGAUAUCGGGAGGAAUACCAGUGGCGAAGGCGCUGACCUGGACGAAGAUUGACGCUGAGGUGCGAAAGCGCGGGGAGCAAACA